rnacentral:rRNA from 1 species
CGGUAAUACCAGCUCUCCGAGUGGUAGGGACGAUUAUUGGGCCCAAAGCGUUCGUAGCCGGCCUGACAAGUCUCUCGUUAAAUCCAGCGACCCAAUCGCUGGGCCGCGGGAGAUACUGUCAGGCUUGGGGGCGGGAGGGGCCGACGGUAUUCUCGGGGUAGGGGUGAAAUCCUAUAAUCCCGGGAGGACCACCAGUGGCGAAGGCUGUCGGCUAGAACGCG